ensembl:misc_RNA 7SK 7SK RNA
GGAUGUGACCGCAGUAUGGCUGUGACAUGUCAGCCCUUUGAUCACCCGUGUUGAGGCAGCUGAUCUGGCGGGCUCAAAAGGUAUUCUCUUUCUCCCUCACCGCUCCAGGUGCAUCCUUACCAAAGCUACAUGCUGGGGAGGGGGGGCACCCACCCUCAUAGAGAGGAGGGCUGUUUCCUUGGGCAAAGGUAUAUGAAUAGCUCUGCUCCCCUGCUAGAACCUUCAAACCUCUGUGCCCCUCUCCACCAAUACAUAUACUGCAGGCCCCAGCUUCUCAUACAGAGCUUCUGAUGCAUUUGAAGUAGGAUUU